CCAGACUCCUACGGGAGGCAGCAGUGAGGAAUAUUGGUCAAUGGGCUUACGCCUGAACCAGCCAAGUAGCGUGAAGGAUGACUGCCCUAUGGGUUGUAAACUUCUUUUAUAAAGGAAUAAAACGAGGCACGUGUGCCUUUUUGCAUGUACUUUAUGAAUAAGGAUCGGCUAACUCCGUGCCAGCAGCCGCGGUAAUACGGAGGAUCCGAGCGUUAUCCGGAUUUAUUGGGUUUAAAGGGUGCGCAGGCGGAGGUGCAAGUCAGCGGUCAAAUUGCGGGGCUCAACCCCGUACUGCCGUUGAAACUGCAUCCCUUGAGUGCGCGAGAAGUAUGCGGAAUGCGUGGUGUAGCGGUGAAAUGCAUAGAUAUCACGCAGAACUCCGAUUGCGAAGGCAGCAUACCGGCGCGCAACUGACGCUCAUGCACGAAAGCGUGGGUAUCGAACAGGAUUAGAUACCCGAGUA
rnacentral:rRNA from 1 species